CCGGUCGCCUGAUGGGGCCGGCAAGACCAGGAGGCGGCAAGGCUCUUGGCGCCUCCUAUGAUCCAUGUUGCUCAAAGGAGGAUGUGGUUAUGAA
rnacentral:sRNA from 1 species